AAGAUGAUGACCGGGUUUUGGCCACAGUUUGGAAACUGAGUGGGCAUCAGUUUGCCUGUGGGAAGUGGAUUUUGGCAUGCAGCCCGUGCCACCCUACUAUCCAGAUGAAGGCAAACUGGAGUGUAUAUUCUGGCUGCAGAAAGUGCCAACGCUACCGAGGGACAACGUGGGUGUGCAAAAACAGCUCAGAUCCGUCCAUGGAAAGAGCUCUCUGGAGCAGUGAUCAGCAAAAAGCAGAGAGGCUGCCAAGCUAAGGAAGAGUCAUUGCCUUCAGUGCUCUGCUGCCCUUAAGUCAGAAGCUGACGUUCUGCUGCUCGCCACUGUGUGCUGUUUGGGCACAUCAUGUUCAGGUUUGAUUGCACACAAUUUCUUAAACUGAUGAGAAGAUGUCCG
rnacentral:lncRNA from 1 species